GCAACACAGAAACCACCUCCCUCAACCCUCUCCUCUCUCAGCAACACUGUCUAAGAAACCAUCUCCCUCAUCCCUCAACCCUCUCUCACUGCCGGCAACACUGUCUUGACAAAGAAAUCAUCUCCCUUCUCUCUCACUGGCGUACAACACUAUUUUAGUAGAGAAGUCUCUCCCUCUCCCACCUAUUUCGGCACGAGCAAACAACUCUCUCCCUUAUUUCGGGAAGACCUUGCAACUCUCUCCCACCUAUUUCGGCAAGACUAUCUCAGCAAAAAUCACUCUCCCACUAUUUCGGCAAGCAGUGAACGGGUUCUUAGGUAUGGAAGAAAAGUUCUUCGGAUCCAACUUCGAUAUCAAGGAUUAUGUUAUGGACAAAGGCUCACACAAAGAAAGAUGGACAACCGGUGAAUUCACAAGUUGCUGAGACACUCGAGCGCAUUGAACAAGCCGAGAUUGAGACAAAAACUUCAUCAAAUAAUAUUGUUGAUGAUGCCUUGAGUAAAGUUCUUGGACCGGAUCGUGGGCAUGUAAGAGGACUUGGAUUUGGAGUGACUCG